AUUGUUAUUUGCAGCAAGUGCAAUGGUUCUGGCAAAUUCAUUUAUAAAUCCGGCAUGACUGGUCCUUGCUACCAGUGUAACGGCAAAGGUUCUGUGAAGCGCAUUGCUCACAAAUCCUUUGCAAUAUCCAUUAUGAACAAUGAUGGUGUCCGUAUUGACUGGCUGCACAUAAACGCCAAAAGUCAAAAUGAAGCAGUCAGAAAAGCCCGUGUGACUGCUUCACGUGGCUGCUACAAAGACCAGCUGGACACAAUCACCGCAACUGAAAGUGGGAUUGAGUACACAUAUAAAACAAUAUAGCGUCGUAUUUGCCCUGUAAACGCAAAAAGACCGCAAGUGGUGUAUUUCUCCACUUACGGUCUUUUCUUCUCAUUCUGGCUUAUUCCGCAAAACGUCAGUGGCAUUAUUUAAGGUCUGCCAGCGUGUUUCCCUCUUCGUCAACAAUCUUCGUGACUUCUGCUGCCAUCUUCUCUGCUUCUUCCUUUGUCACGCUCCCGGUAAUGUUCCCGGCUGCGUCGUAAAGGUUCACUGUGCCGUCUGCGUUGGUUUCCGUGGCACCCUCCGGCGCAUUGUCUGUGGCAAUAGCCACUUUCUCUGUUGUUGUCACUGGUGCCGUGGUGUUAAUCACUACCGUUGCAGUUGGUGUGGCUGUGAGUGCUUUCAGUGGUUCUGCUGUGUUGCCUUCUUUCUUUCCUGCCAUCAUUGCUUCAUACGCAGUCUGUGCAAUUGCCCGCAGCUGUUCUUCUGUUACUUUCAAUCCUGCUUCGUCUGCGAUCUUCUUUAACUGCUCAACUACCUUGUCCAUUUUUUCUUUUCCACUUGCGGAUUUCAUACAUUCGCGCGCCCAUACCACGAACUGUUCCGCCCAGCCGGACAGUUCCUGUAAUUUUUCAGAUACGCUUUUCGGAAUAUUCGGGAAAACAUAUUUUCCAAUCACGAAUGCUCCUACUGCUACUGCUAAUUGAAUUGCUAAUACAAUAAUGUUGUUCAUAUUCUUUUCUUCCUUUCUAUUUUGCCGGAACUUUCAGUGUCUGUCCCGGGUGAAUGGUAUCUGUUUUCAGGUUGUUCAGGGUCUUAAUUUCGUUAUAUCUUGUGCCAUCAUUUAACAGUCUGUCCGCAAUCGCCCAUAAGCUGUCGCCCUGUUUUACUGUAUAUGUGGUAUAACCCUUUCCCGGAAUUUUGAUUUUCUGCCCUACGUUGAUAACGUUCGGGUUCGCGAUUCCAUUAUAGCUUGCAAGUUUCUGAUAUGUGGUGCCAUACUUUGCGGCAAUACCAGAAAGUGUGUCACCUGCUUUUACUGUAUAUACGGUUUUGCCCGUACUGGUUCCAGAAGCGUUUCCGGUGUUUGUUGCUGGUUUUGUAGUUGUUGUGCUUCCGUUACCUGCUUUUGCACCGGAUGUAAUUGCAAUGGCUACAUGGUGAUCGUCAUUUAACAGAAUGUCGCCCGCCAUGAUGUAAUCACCGCUUGUCAGAUAUUUUUUAUCUGUAAACAGUUUUGCGCCCACCGCCACUAAUGUUUUACGCAUGUCGUAGGUUGUCAGGUAAAUAGAUACGUUCUGCAAUGCCGGGAUUCCCAGUCUGUAGCCUGCAAACCAGCAGCCGUGACCCGGCUGGGGGACAAUGUCAGGUGGGGAGUUUGACUGGGGCGGUCGCCUCCGAAAGGGUAUCGGAGGCGCUCAAAGGUUCCCUCAGAAUGGUUGGAAACCAUUCGAAGAGUGCAAAGGCAGAAGGGAGCUUGACUGCGACACCGACGGGUGGAGCAGGUACGAAAGUAGGACUUAGUGAUCCGGUGGUAUAAAGUGGGAUUGCCAUCGCUCAACGGAUAAAAGCUACCCUGGGGAUAACAGGCUUAUCACUCCCAAGAGUUCACAUCGACGGAGUGGUUUGGCACCUCGAUGUCGGCUCAUCGCAUCCUGGGGCUGUAGUAGGUCCCAAGGGUUGGGCUGUUCGCCCAUUAAAGCGGUACGCGAGCUGGGUUCAGAACGUCGUGAGACAGUUCGGUCCCUAUCCGGCGUGGGCGUAAGAUAUUUGAGAGGAGCUGUCCUUAGUACGAGAGGACCGGGAUGGACUGGCCGCUGGUGUAUCUGUUGUCUUACCAAAGGCAUAGCAGAGUAGCCAAGCCGGGAAGGGAUAAACGCUGAAGGCAUCUAAGCGUGAAGCCCCCCUCAAGAUGAGAUAUCUCAUAACGUCAAGUUAGUAAGACCCCUUGAAGACGACGAGGUAGAUAGGGCAGAGGUGGAAGUGUGGUAACACAUGGAGCUGACUGUUACUAAUAGGUCGAGGGCAUAACCA
rnacentral:rRNA from 1 species